rnacentral:rRNA from 1 species
AGAGUUUGAUCAUGGCUCAGGAUAAACGCUAGCGGUGUGCUUUAUGCAUGCAAGUCGAACGGUCUCGAUUUAUCGAGAUAGUGGCGAACGGGUGAGUAACGCGUAAGUAACCUGCCCCUAAGUAGAGAAUAACUCUGAGAAAUUAGAGCUAAUACUGUAUGUGGUGGUGAGGGUAAUGCUUCAUCACUAAAGCCUUAGGGCGCUUAGGGAGGGGCUUGCGUCCGAUUAGUUAGUUGGUAGGGUAAUGGCUUACCAAGGCGAUGAUCGGUAGCUGGUUUGAGAGGACAUCCAGCCACACUGGGAUUGAGAUACGGCCCAGACUCCUACGGGAGGCAGCAGCAAGGAAUUUUGUGCAAUGGGCGAAAGCCUGACACAGCGACACCGCGUGGGGGAUGAAGGCCUUCGGGUUGUAAACCCCUUUUCUCAGGGAAGAAUAAUGACGGUACCUGAGGAAUAAGUCGUGGCUAACUACGUGCCAGCAGCCGCGGUAAUACGUAGGCGGCGAGCGUUAUCCGGGUUUACUGGGCGUAAAGAGGGCGUAGGCGGCUUUUCAAGUCGAGUGUAAAAUCUCCCGGCUUAACUGGGAGGGACCAUUCGAUACUGUUGGGCUAGAGGGCAGCAGGAGGAGGUGGAAUUCCCGGUGUAGUGGUGAAAUGCGUAGAUAUCGGGAGGAACAUCAGUGGCGAAGGCGGCCUCCUAGGCUGUUUCUAACGCUGAGGCCCGAAAGCGUGGGGAGCAAACAGGAUCAGAUACCCUGGUAGUCCACGCUGUAAACAAUGGACACUAGGUAUAGGGAGUAUCGACCCUCUCUGUGCCGAAGCUAACGCAUUAAGUGUCCCGCCUGGGGAGUACGGCCGCAAGGCUAAAACUCAAA